CCUACGGGGGGCAGCAGUGGGGGAUAUUGCACAAUGGGGGAAACCCUGAUGCAGCGACGCCGCGUGGGUGAAGAAGCGCCUCGGCGCGUACAGCCCUGUCAGCAGGGAAGAAAAUGACGGUACCUGAAGAAGAAGCCCCGGCUACCUACGUCCAAGCUGCCGCGGUCAUCCGUAGGGGGCAAGCGUUAUCCGGAUUUACUGGGUGUAAAGGGGGCGCAGUCGGCGAUGCAAGCCAGGAGUGAAAGCCCCGGGCCCAACCCCGGGACUGCUCUUGGAACUGCGUGGCUAGAGUGCGGGAGGGGCAGGCGGAAUUCCUGGUGUAGCGGUGAAAUGCGUAGAUAUCAGGAGGAACACCGGUGGCGAAGGCGGCCUGCUGGACUGCAACUGACGUUGAGGCCCGAAAGCGUGGGGAGCAAACAGGAUUAGAUACCCUUGUAGUC
rnacentral:rRNA from 1 species